GACUCUCGGCAACGGAUAUCUCGGCUCUCGCAUCGAUGAAGAACGUAGCGAAAUGCGAUACUUGGUGUGAAUUGCAGAAAUCCGGUGAACCAUCGAGUCUUUGAACGCAAGUUGGCCCGAAGCCGUUAGGAGGGCACGUCUGCCUGGGCGUCA
rnacentral:rRNA from 1 species